ACAACGACUCUCGGCAACGGAUAUCUCGGCUCUCGCAUCGAUGAAGAACGUAGCGAAAUGCGAUACUUGGUGUGAAUUGCAGAAUCCCGUGAACCAUCGAGUCUUUGAACGCAAGUUGCGCCCUAAGCCAUUUGGCCGAGGGCACGUCUGCCUGGGCGUCAAUC
rnacentral:rRNA from 1 species